rnacentral:rRNA from 1 species
GACGAACGCUGGCGGCGUGCUUAACACAUGCAAGUCGAACGGAAAGGCCCUGCUUUUGUGGGUUGCUCGAGUGGCGAACGGGUGAGUAACACGUGAGUAUCCUGCCCUUGACUUUGGGAUAACUUCAGGAAACUGGGGCUAAUACCGGAUAGGAGCUCCUGCUGCAUGGGGGGGGUUGGAGAGUUUCGGCGGUUGGGGCUGGACUCGCGGCUUAUGAGCUUGUUGGUGGGGUAGUGGAUUACAACGGCUUUGACGGGUAGCCGGCCUGAGAGGGUGACCAGCCACAUUGGGCCUGAGAUACGGACCAGACUCCUACGGGAGGCAGCAGUGGGGAAUAUUGCAGAAUGGGCCGAAGCCUGAUGCAGCAACGCCGCGUGCGGGAUGCCGGCCUUCGGGUUGUAAACCGCUUUCGCCUGUGAUGAAGAGUGAGUGACGGUAAUGAGUCAAGAAGCACCGGCUAACUACGUG